CUACUAACUACUUAACUACGAUAUCAAACCCAAGGGGAGGAGCAUCAAGCUUUCGUUUGUUCCCAAAAAAAAAAGCAUCGAUCAAGCUUUCUCCAGCCAUAGCCGCAAGCAAAGGCGAGAUCGCCACUGCUGCCAUGGGCAAGCUGUCACCGACACCGUCUGCAGGACGAUACGGUCCAGGUGACGAUGUCAAUGAUACAUUUGUCGAUGCCACGGGAGGCUUGAUCUUCAAACGGGGUGGUGGAGGGAAUCGACGAUAACAGCGCGCUUAUAUGGCAAAGAAAUAUCACAAUAAACCGAGGCCUGUAUGGACGGUAAAAAUGCGAGCAUGUGUUCCAGCCUGCAUGUCCAUGUUCAAGCCUCCAUGCUCGGCAACUGCUAGUUGACUCUUCAUUGUCAUCAUUAUCAUGAUAUAGCCACCGACCGAAGGGCUGUCAUCCCUCUGCGUCAUUGUACAAAGUCACCGAAGCUGUACCUUACAUGUGGAUUAUUCAAUUUUACGUGACCAUGUAAAAUUCAGUUGGACCUCUGUCUCUUGGGCGAGAUCCUAGUAUAUUAUGUAUAGUUAUUCGUGUGUUGC